GUAGGUGGCAAGCGUUGUCCGGAAUUAUUGGGCGUAAAGCGCGCGCAGGCGGUUCUUUAAGUCUGACGUGAAAGCCCACGGCUCAACCGUGGAGGGUCAUUGGAAACUGGAGAACUUGAGUACAGAAGAGGAAAGCGGAAUUCCACGUGUAGCGGUGAAAUGCGUAGAGAUGUGGAGGAACACCAGUGGCGAAGGCGGCUUUCUGGUCUGUAACUGACGCUGAGGCGCGAAAGCGUGGGGAGCAAACAGGGAUUAGAUACCCUGGUAGUCCACGCCGUAAACGAUGAGUGCUAAGUGUUAGGGGGUUUCCGCCCCCUUAGUGCUGCAGCUAACGCAUUAAGCACUCCGCCUGGGGUAGUACGGCCGCAAGGCUG
rnacentral:rRNA from 1 species